rnacentral:rRNA from 1 species
GACAGAGGGUGCAACCGUUGUUCGGAAUUACUGGGCGUAAAGCGCGUGUAGGCGGCUAUGCAAGUCGGGCGUGAAAUCCCACGGCUCAACCGUGGAAGUGCACUCGAAACUGCGUAGCUAGAGUCCCGGAGAGGAAGGUGGAAUACUUGGUGUAGAGGUGAAAUUCGUAGAUAUCAAGUGGAACACCGGUGGCGAAGGCGGCCUUCUGGACGGUGACGGACGCUGAGACGCGAAAGCGUGGGAGCAAACAGG